GAAACCUGCAUAGCAGAACGACCCGUGAACUAAUAAUCACCUGGGGGAGUGGGAGGGAGAUGCACUCGUGCACCCCCACCCCUCGCCCCCAAAGUCUGGACGCGCCCACUGCCACACCGAACAUGUUCGGGCGUUGGCAGGAGGUCGUCCAUGGCGACAAUAACGAACCCCGGCGCGGAAUGCGCCAAGGAAAUCAUAACGAACUUAGCACACCGCUAGCCGACUCGUGCGGCAGCGGCGUCGCAAAUUUCGAUACCUAAACGACUCUCGGCAACGGAUAUCUCGGCUCUCGCAUCGAUGAAGAACGUAGCGAAAUGCGAUACUUGGUGUGAAUUGCAGAAUCCCGUGAACCAUCGAGUUUUUGAACGCAAGUUGCGCCCGAAGUCAUCCGGCUGAGGGCACGUCUGCCUGGGCGUCACGUAUCGCGUUGCUCCCAAAGCCUGCCCUGCCAAGGGUAAGGUCCUGCGGAAGCAGAGAUUGGCCUCCCGUGCCCAUGCACGGCUGGCCUAAAUGCAAGCCUGGGGGUGACGAAAGGGUCACGACAAGCGGUGGUUGUUAACUCGGCCUUUGUUGCGUCGUGCCCGCCGUGCCCCUUGGAGCUCAGCAUCCCUGACGCGUCGUCUCGACGGCGUUUGCUUCGCGACC
rnacentral:rRNA from 1 species